rnacentral:sRNA from 1 species
ACUCCUCUGUGGCUCUGGAAGAGCCCGGUUUCCUCAGGAGGCAUGUCGGGCCCCAGGCCUGUGGUGCUGAGCGGGCCUUCGGGAGCUGGGAAGAGCACCCUGCUGAAGAGGCUGCUCCAGGAGCACAGCGGCAUCUUUGGCUUCAGCGUGUCCCAUACCACGAGGAACCCGAGGCCCGGCGAGGAGAACGGCAAAGGGAGGUGAUGCAGCGUGACAUAGCAGCCGGCGACUUCAUCGAGCAUGCCGAGUUCUCGGGGAACCUGUAUGGCACGAGCAAGGUGGCGGUGCAGGCUGUGCAGGCCAUGAACCGCAUC